AUAAAGGACUCUAGAUAGGUGAAAAUUGGUGGUAAAUACUCCAGACCAUAAAUUCAAGCCCGCUUUAAUACCAACCCCCAGACUAUUAACACUGAAAAAAAAAAUAAAUCUAAUAGGGAAGCACCUGUAGAAAUGAUUUUAUAAUUUAGAUGCAUGAAACUGGCCCAGUAGCAUAUAUUACACUUUUAGAUGUGAUGCUCUGAAUAGAAAGUCAGAAGAUAACAGAGCACUUUUUAUUUUUCGGUUUUUCCAUUUCCAUGCCCUUCUCUUGCGCGCUUGACUUGGGCCUCUUUAGUUGUCCAAAUAGAUGCUACUCGACAA
rnacentral:misc_RNA from 1 species